GAUAUUCAGAAUGAAUGAGCAAAGGUGGUAACUGAUGAGAGGUGACGCCAUGGAGGACUCAGAGCAGAGAAGUUGGGUUUAAAAGUAUAAAUUCCCUGGAAGGGAACAUGUUAUAAAAUCGAGCAUCAGAGAUAUUUUAUUGUGUGGAUAUGGAAUGUAAAUAGGUAUGAGUAAAGGAUACAAGAUGUACUCAGAGAUGCCAAAAUGAACAUUUCAAGCUUGUUUUCCUUUUAUUCCUUCCAGAUCUGUAACCCUGCGUAGUCUAGCUCCCUUGUUGUAAUAGGGAUGUGCUUGCCCUAUGUUCCUGAUAAUAUGAGAUGCUACAAAUUUAUUUCAUUUAUUUUACAUACAGGAUAUGUUUUCCUGUAUUGAUUCAAAGGGCCAAUAUACAGAGGGCAUAUUCAAAACACGUGUCAAUGGCCAAGCCUAUAGAGCCCUGAAAGAAAAACUGAAUUCUAGAGAACGCGUGGACUGGACAAGUGAGUCCCCCUAUGUGGUGGCAACUGUUUUAAAGGAUUUUCUUCAAAGUAUACCUGGAAGCCUGUUUACAACCAGCCUGUAUGAAGAAUUCAUUGAUGCUUUGGAUGAAGGGAACAACGAGGCCAGAACUGCCACCAUUUGCAGGCUUUUAGACCAGCUUCCCAAACUGAAUUUUCAUCUCUUAGAAUCCUUAUUCUUAUGUUUACACAAGAUUGCAUACUCACCGUUAAGUAAGAUGACAUCAUUCGAUUUGGCACUGUGCCUGACUCCAAGCCUUCUUUGGCUACCCAUUUCAGGUAGCUCAGGAAGAGGAAUGGAAUGGCAGAGGAAGGUUACACUUGUACAAUAUUUAAUUGAAAACUACACAAGGAUUUUUGGACACAAACUGAGUUCCCCCAUGGGAGAAGACAUAGAAAAUCAGGACAACGUCCAGGACACCUCAGGUAUCAUAAUGACCCAUUGAACUGCCCUUGAUGACGCUGCUGUGCCCUGACAGGUCUUCGGGCUAUCUUGGAGCCCAGGGCAUGUUCAAAGGGCACUGAGGCUGAGGCCCUUGUCCACAAGCUCACUCACAGGCCCAGGAUGGUGUCAUAUGGAUGUGAAACAAAAGAGAAGCUGAGCCAUCUGGUUUCAGAAAGCAAAUGCUAAUUCUAACUGCUUCAAGAUGCAUCCUAUUGUACAACACAGGACCUACGAUUUUUACAACAGGUUUUGUGGAACCCUUCUUUUUAAGGGUUCCUCACAAAGUACACAGAUUAAUGAAAUUUAAGCAUGAGGUAACACAUUAUUUAUUAAGAGACAGAUUGCUCAAGAGAGAGA